rnacentral:rRNA from 1 species
UACGUAGGGUGCGAGCGUUGUCCGGAAUUAUUGGGCGUAAAGAGCUCGUAGGCGGCCUGUCGCGUCGGAUGUGAAAGCCCGGGGCUUAACCCCGGGUCUGCAUUCGAUACGGGCAGGCUAGAGUUCGGUAGGGGAGAUCGGAAUUCCUGGUGUAGCGGUGAAAUGCGUAGAUAUCAGUCGGAACACCGGUGGCGAAGGCGGCUUCUUGGGCCCUACCUGACGCUGAGGCGCGAAAGCCAGGGGAGCGAACGGG